GCUGUAGUCUCAGAAAUUUCCGAAAACAAAUUUACGUCUUAGACAGUGUGUAUGUUUAUUGAACUCGAUAUUUAAUAUAUCCGAGCUGAUAAACCGAGGAAUUAUCUGUGGACAAAAUAGCUGAAGGUGGGAAAUAUUUAUUUACAGUGUUCCGCCUAUUUAUUGCGUUUGAAACCAUUACGAAAGAUUGGAUUGCCUUUUACUGCAAGGAAAGUUCUCAAAAUGUACGUGCGAAAACUGAGUAUAUGGCGAUAGUGACGGAUGUGUAGCAAUUAGUGAAAAUUAUAAAGUGCACCUCAAUACCUAUUUUAUACCGAGGGCCAAAUCACUCAGACAGCGGACGUUAUAUUUGGUCGAGUUGUGACUGAACGAAAGGUUGCAGACUGAUGAACCAUUGUGACACCCAGUUGCCUGCAAAGAGAAAGAAACGUUCUCAUGGCGGUCUCUAUGAAGAGUAUGGUCUUCUGAGUUGUAACGCCGUUUGGUUCAGAGAAGGCCUCACGUUCCGGAAGAAAACACCUUCUCCGUCGACAUAGUCGAAGAUGGAACCAAGCGAAAACCGCAGCAGCAGUUGGUAAGUAAUCGGAUUUUGAACCAGAGCUUGGUCACUAAUCGCCACAUUUCGCUGCCUGCUCGCAAGCGCUACGGUUCUGCAUCACUCAGCCAUGCUGCCCUUUCAGACCAGUGUGCAGAUCAUGACGUUGAGCAAGGAGGUGGAGGAGGAUGGGCCGGAGUUGAAAGAGCAUCGUGAAAUAGAGAAGAACAAGAAUGAAGGAAGAAGGAGAGAGAAUUCGAGGAAAGUAAAAUUAAGGACGAUGCGGAAUACGACGAAGAGACAAGAAGAGAAGACGGAUGAAGAAGGUAA